AAUGCAUCAUCUUUAAUUUCAUAGUUACCUUCCAAUCCAAAUAGAACAAAACAUACAAUUAAGUCAUUUAAAAUAGUUGGAUUAGGUCAUUGCGUUUUCUGGUCAAACCCUUUCCUUUAAAAGACAAUGGAUUUCUUCACAGGAAACUCCAGUUGGCAGGCCUGCUUUUGAAUACUGCCCACUGGUUUUUGGAUCUUUCCUAAAUAUUAGAAAAAUGCCCAACUCUCCUAAAAUAGUCAUUUAUUUUUGAGGUAGUACUCUUAGAAAAUAACAUAUAAGAUUUUCCACUAUUUCUAAUCUUAAGCUUUCAACAUUUUAUCAUGGCAUACUUGCUACUGGUUUUUUUUUAAGCUACACCUAA
rnacentral:lncRNA from 10 species